CAUUCUCCCUUUUGGACGGAGCAUGAGGAUAAGGAAGGUUUUGGAUAGGGGUAGUGCUCACUACCUCCUUUCCCUUUGCAACUCUAGCACUCUUCCAUCUAGGCUUUUUCACUACCUCCCUUAUUACCUCAUCACUUGUAUUUUUCCCCAUCUCCACACCUUUUUCUUUUUCAACUUCACCAUUAUUUUUAUUCUUUUCAACUUCUUCACCCUCACUCCACUCUCCUACUUCACCAUCAACAUUUUCCUCCAAUAUUUCCUCCUCAAUUU
rnacentral:lncRNA from 1 species